UACCCGCUGAACUUAAGCAUAUCAAUAAGCGGAGGAAAAGAAACCAACAGGGAUUGCCUCAGUAACGGCGAGUGAAGCGGCAAAAGCUCAGAUUUGAAAUCUGGCGUCAUAUUGGCGUCCGAGUUGUAAUCUGUAGAGGAGUAUUCGAGUGUGGCGUUGGCUUAAGUUCCUUGGAACAGGACGUCAUAGAGGGUGAGAACCCCGUUAACGGCCUUUGUCUUAUGCUCAUGUGAAUCUCCUUCAACGAGUCGAGUUGUUUGGGAAUGCAGCUCUAAAUGGGUGGUAAAUUCCAUCUAAAGCUAAAUACUGGCAAGAGACCGAUAGCGCACAAGUAGAGUGAUCGAAAGAUGAAAAGAACUCUGAACAGAGAGUUAAAUAGUACGUGAAAUUGUUGAAAGGGAAGCACUUGCUACCAGACACGCCUGUAGUUGAUCAGCCUUCAUUCUUGAUGGUGCACUCGGCUACAUGGUGGGUCAGCAUCAGUUGUGGCGGUGGGAUAAAGACCAGGGGAAUGUGGCUUCUCUCGGGAAGUGUUAUAGCCCCAGGUGCAAUACCGCCUGCUGCGACUGAGGACCGCGCCCGCAAGGGUGAGGAUGCUGGCAUAAUGGUCGUAAGUGACCCGUCUUGAAACACGGACCAAGGAGUCUAACAUCUAUGCGAGUGUUUGGGUGUCAAAACCCUUACGCGGAAUGAAAGUGAAUGUAGGUGGGAACCGCAAGGUGCACCAUCGACCGAUCCUGAUGUCUUCGGAUGGAUUUGAGUAGGAGCAUAGCUGUUGGGACCCGAAAGAUGGUGAACUAUGCCUGAAUAGGGUGAAGCCAGAGGAAACUCUGGUGGAGGCUCGCAGCGGUUCUGACGUGCAAAUCGAUCGUCAAAUUUGGGUAUAGGGGCGAAAGACUAAUCGAACCAUCUAG
rnacentral:rRNA from 1 species